rnacentral:rRNA from 1 species
CGAGCGGCAAGGCCCUUCGGGGCCCCAGAGCGGCGGACGGGUGAGUAACGCGUGGACAACCUGCCCUUCGGUGGGGGAUAGCCUGCGGAAACGCAGGGUAAUACCGCAUGAGACGCAACGGGCGGAGGCCGGUUGCGGGAAAGGCCCCGAGGGGCCGCCGGGGGAUGGGUCCGCGUCCCAUUAGCUAGACGGCGGGGUGAAGGCCCACCGUGGCGACGAUGGGUAGCCGGCCUGAGAGGGUGGACGGCCACAUUGGAACUGAGACACGGUCCAGACUCCUACGGGAGGCAGCAGCUAAGAAUCUUCCGCAAUGGGCGAAAGCCUGACGGAGCGACGCCGCGUGGACGAUGAAGGCCGUGAGGUUGUAAAGUCCUUUUCGGGGGGGGGGAAUGAGGUCCGCAGGGAAUGGCGGGCCGAUGACGUGAACCCCGGAAUAAGCCCCGGCUAACUACGUGCCAGCAGCCGCGGUAACACGUAGGGGGCGAGCGUUGUUCGGAAUCAUUGGGCGUAAAGGGCGCGCAGGCGGCGAGGCAAGUCCGGUGUGAAAGUGCUCGGCUCAACCGAGUGAUGCGCUGGAAACUGCCCUGCUUGAGUACAGGAGGGGACGUCGGAAUUCCAGGUGUAGGGGUGAAAUCUGUAGAUAUCUGGAGGAACACCGGUGGCGAAGGCGGACGUCUGGCCAUGUACUGACGCUGAGGCGCGAAGGUGCGGGGAGCGAACAGGUUUAGAUACCCUGGUAGUCCGCACAGUAAACGGUGUGCACCAGGUGGCGGGGGGUAGCCCUCGGUACCGAAGCCAACGCAUUAAGUGCACCGCCUGGGGAGUAUGCUCGCAAGGGUGAAACUCAAAGGAAUUGACGGGGGCCCGCACAAGCGGUGGAGCAUGUGGUUUAAUUCGAUGAUACGCGAGGAACCUUACCAGGGCUUGACAUGGGCCGGGAGGCGGGUGAAAGUCCGCCGCCCUUCGGGGCCGGUCCACAGGUGCUGCAUGGCUGUCGUCAGCUCGUGCUGUGAAGUGUUGGGUUAAGUCCCGCAACGAGCGCAACCCCCGCCGCCCGUUACCAUCGAGUAACGUCGGGGACUCAGGCGGAACUGCCGGUGACAAACCGGAGGAAGGUGGGGACGACGUCAAGUCAUCAUGGCCCUUAUGUCCUGGGCUACACACGUGCUACAAUGGCAGGUACAGAGCGCAGCGAGGCCGCGAGGCGGAGCGAACCGCGAAAAGCCUGUCCCAGUACGGAUUGGGGUCUGCAACCCGACCCCAUGAAGUUGGAAUCGCUAGUAAUCGCGCAUCAGCAUGGCGCGGUGAAUACGUUCCCGGGCCUUGUACACACCGCCCGUCACACCAUCCGAGUCGGGGGCACCCGAAGUCGCCAGCCCAACCGCAAGGGGGGCGGUGCCGAAGGUACGCCUGGU